rnacentral:rRNA from 1 species
UGGGGAAUAUUGGACAAUGGGCGAAAGCCUGAUCCAGCCAUGCCGCGUGUGUGAAGAAGGUCUUCGGAUUGUAAAGCACUUUAAGUUGGGAGGAAGGGCAUUAACCUAAUACGUUAGUGUUUUGACGUUACCGACAGAAUAAGCACCGGCUAACUCUGUGCCAGCAGCCGCGGUAAUACAGAGGGUGCAAGCGUUAAUCGGAAUUACUGGGCGUAAAGCGCGCGUAGGUGGUUUGUUAAGUUGGAUGUGAAAUCCCCGGGCUCAACCUUGAAACUGCAUUCAAAACUGACUGACUAGAGUAUGGUAGAGUGUGGUGGAAUUUCCUGUGUAGCGGUGAAAUGCGUAGAUAUAGGAAGGAACACCAGUGGCGAAUGCGACCACCUGGACUAAUACUGACACUGAGGUGCGAAAGCGUGGGGAGCAAACA